AGAGUGAACGCUGGCGGCAGGCCUAACACAUGCAAGUCGAACGGCAGCACAGAGGAGCUUGCUCCUUGGGUGGCGAGUGGCGGACGGGUGAGGAAAACGUCGGAAUCUGCCUAUUUGUGGGGGAUAACGUAGGGAAACUUACGCUAAUACCGCAUACGACCUACGGGUGAAAGCGGAGGACCUUCGGGCUUCGCGCAGAUAGAUGAGCCGACGUCGGAUUAGCUAGUUGGCGGGUAAAGCCACCAAGGCGAUGAUCGGUAGCUGGUCUGAGAGGAUGAUCAGCCACACUGGGACUGAGACACGGCCCAGACUCCUACGGGAGGCAGCAGUGGGGAAUUUUGGACAAUGGGGGCAACCCUGAUCCAGCCAUUCCGCGUGAGUGAAGAGGCCUUCGGUUGUAAGCUCUUUGUCCGAAGAACGGUAGCGUGAAUAUCGCUGCCUACUGACGGUACCGAAGAAGUAAGCGACCGGACUAACGACGU
rnacentral:rRNA from 1 species